UACAGAGGGUGCGAGCGUUAAUCGGAAUGACUGGGCGUAAAGGGCGCGUAGGUGGUUUGUUAAGAUUGUUGUGAAAUCCCUGGGCUUAACCUAGGAACUGCACCGAUGACUGACAAGCUUGAGUAUUGUAGAGGGUAGUGGAAUUUCCGGUGUAGCGGUGAAAUGCGUAGAGAUCGGAAGGAACACCAGUGGCGAAGGCGGCUACCUGGACAAAUACUGACACUGAGGCGCGAAAGCGUGGGGAGCAAACAGG
rnacentral:rRNA from 1 species